rnacentral:rRNA from 1 species
CGUAGGGGGCUAGCGUUGUCCGGAAUCAUUGGGCGUAAAGAGCGCGUAGGCGGCCAGAUAAGUCCGGUGUGAAAGUCACAGGCUCAACCUGUGAAUGCCGCUGGAAACUGUCUGGCUAGAGUCCGGGAGGGGCGAGUGGAAUUCCUGGUGUAGCGGUGAAAUGCGCAGAUAUCAGGAGGAACACCAAUGGCGAAGGCAGCUCGCUGGAACGGUACUGACGCUGAGGCGCGAAAGCGUGGGGAGCAAACAGGAUUAGAUACCCUGGUAGUCCACGCCGUAAACGAUGGGCACUAGGUGUGGGAGGUGUCGACUCCUCCCGUGCCGUAGCUAACGCAUUAAGUGCCCCGCCUGGGGAGUACGGCCGCAAGGCUA